GCAGAACCUCAUUAGAGCCGAAAAGCUUCGUCAAAAGCCACCUUUAAACCAGCCCCUAUUUUCUGGCCAUAAAACACCAUGAAAGCGGGUCAAAAUCAGCAGUGAAAUGCCAUCCAAAACACCCCCAAAAACGUCUUCAAAUCAGCCACCAAAACAUCACUAAAAUGAACCCAAAUCUCAGUCAAAACAACCUCUAAAACUCAGCUGAAAAUCAGCACCAAAUAGUCCCGAAACUCGGACUAAAACGCAGCAGCUAUUGCCUAUUUUUUCCCUCCCAAAACAGCCCAGAAAUUACCCCUGAAAAGCCAUGAAAAUCGUCCUUAAACAGCUCCAAAAAAUUAGCUGGUAAACAUCGCAAAAACCAUAUCGGACAAGGUCCGUUUGAGCUUCUGUCGAGUUCCCGUCGUCGACGUCGAGAGUUCCAAUUUUGGUUUGUAUAUGUGCCGUCAUUGUUUAACUUGAAGGAGCUAUUGCUUUGAGGACCUUUUACGAACAUGCAGAAAAUUCUUGUACAAGAAUUGGAUAGGGGCCUAAUCAACUGCACCUAAGAUCAGUAGGUGCUGCAUUCAACUGCACCUAACUCACAACAAUGUUUCUCUUCCAAUCAUGCAGAUCUUUGUUCUAUUUGGCAUCAAUGACUUGGUCAUGCACCAAUAGCAGUAUUGCAAAAAAAUUCUUCUUUGAAGGGUCAUUUGUCUCAUAAAAGAUCUCUGUCUUGUACUAUAUAUAUAUGUCCUUUAUCAAGUCAGACUAGAUCCCCUUUCCCCAUUAGUACUGAGAAAACUGUAUCCCCUUUUGAACUUGUACAUAUGAAUAUUUGGGAUCCAUAUGGAAAAAGUACUUACAAUGGUCAUAGAUUCUUUCUCACAUUGUGGAUGAUUACUCUAGGAUGACCUGGAUUUAUCUGAUAUGAAUGAAAAGUGAUGUGGUUGUUUUGA